UACGUAGGGACCAAGCGUUGUUCGGAUUUACUGGGCGUAAAGGGCGCGUAGGCGGCAAUUCAAGUCAGCUGUGAAAUCUCCGGGCUUAACUCGGAACGGUCAGCUGAUACUGCUUUGCUAGAGUGCGGAAGGGGCAAUCGGAAUUCUCAGUGUAGCGGUGAAAUGCGUAGAUAUCGAGAGGAACACCUGAGGUGAAGACGGGUUGCUGGGCCGACACUGACGCUGAGGCGCGAAAGCCAGGGUAGCAAACGGG
rnacentral:rRNA from 1 species